rnacentral:lncRNA from 1 species
GUUAAUGUUCUUUCAAAUACUCAAGUUGGAAGUUAUUAAUAGUCGUGGACUUUAGUUUGUGUUUGUAGCCAUGCUUUCUUUUUGUUUGUUUGUUUCGUAGUUAACAAUGUUUAGAAUUGUUUUUCCUGAUUUUAUUGAUUUUCUUUUUCCUUAUAAGGGUUUGUAAACAAAAUAAUGUAGCUUCACAAUUUAUUACCUCAAAAAUGUACUUCAAGGACUACUUUAAUGUAAUUUCUGCAACAUCAGGAAAACUAAGUUUUUCGAAAUGUAUGCCCUUGUUCAUUUUACUAGGAAAAGAGAAGGAUAAAGUUGAUUGGAUCAAGGAGUGGGAGAAUAAGUAAAGUUGUUUCUCUGGUAGAAAGGUGAACAAGUUGAUGAAUAAGUUGGACGACAAGGAAGGCAUUGUGAUUGAGGGAGAAAGAAGGAAUUGUACCUGAGUUUGUAGCUUCUUAGAUUACCCUGGAAGAAAGUUGAAUUUUCUGGUGGAAGGGUUGAAUUGGUCUUGUAGUUUUGAUGAGAGAGCUAGCUGUUUUGUGAGGCCUUUUCAAUGUUAAGUUUAGGAGGGCAUUGUUCAACUGUGGUAAAUGACAUACUAGUCCUCAAUUCUUUAAUGCACUUAUGUAUAUAGAUAAAUAUGGACCAAAUGAAUGUGGAACAAGUGAGAUAGGGACAGAGAGGGAUGUCCAAAGGUUUGAGUUUUCUGCUCUUGAUCCCUGGAGGUCUUCUGAAAUGAAGAUGAAGUAUAUUGGGCUUUGAACCAAUGAAAAUUUUGUUUGGACAAAAUUUGUUAAUGUUGUACUUGAAUGAAACUCCGCCUAUGUAAUUUUACAUGGCCGGUCCCAAGCCCGGAUAAAGGAGGAGGGGGAGGGCGCCAGGUAGUCGAUAGCCGGCACUCCAUGAUCACGUCGAAUCCUUAUGAAAAUGAAUCCAGAACAAAAUCGCGCUAAAGCUAGGGCGUCACCCGUAAGUGGCGCGCUGUGUGGCCCGAGCACAGUGAUAAGUGAGCAAGGGUCGCUGUAUCUCCAUCGGCACCCGGAUGCAGUGUUAAAUGAGCAAGGGGGCCGUAGAAACUUCUUUUCGAACGACUCCACUCAAAGUUGUUUGGGAGCAUAUGCUCCUAUCAACUUUACACGGGACACACAAAAGAAGUACUUUGAUCAUAUAUUAGACGGGGGAGGGUGAAGAAAGCUAGGACAGAAGGGUAGAGUUCAAGAGAGCAAAAUGCGUUUAGGAACGUGGAAUAUAGGAACCUUAACGGGAAAAUCUAUGGAAGUAGUGGAAGUUAUGGUGAGGAGAAGGAUAUACCUACAAGUAAGUUUAGUAAGGCAAAGGAAAACUCAGGGUUUAAACUUUGGUAUUCGGGCACAAAUAGAACGAGAAACGGUGUUGGCAUCAUCGUGGACAAGACCUUGACACAAGAUGUUGUAGAUGUCAAGAGGGUAGGAGAUAGAAUCAUGGCAAUCAAGAUUGUAAUAGGACAAGAACUUAUCAAUGUGAUUAGUGCGUACGCACCUCAAGUAGGGUUGGAUACGAGUUCGAAGGAGAAAUUUUGGGAAGACCUUGGAGACUUGGUGCAAGGAAUUGCUCAGACGGAGAAGUUAUUUAUAUAGGAGGAGAUUUAAAUGGACACGUGGGCAGGGAGAGACAAGCAACUAUGGAGGUUUUCAUGGUGGCCAUGGUUUUGGGGAGAGAAACGAGGAUGGGGAAGCUAUCUUGGAUUUUGCAAUGGCAUAUGAUCUCUUCUUAGCCAACACCUUCUUUAAGAAGAGAGAAAGAACAUGUGAUCACCUACAAGAGUGGGUCGUCAAAAAACACAAAUAGAUUUUUUUUCUUCUAAUGAGGAAAGGGGAUCGUAUAACUUGUAAGGAUUGCAAAGUUAUACCAGGAGAGAGCGUGGCUAAUCAACAUCGCUUGUUGGUGAUGGAUGUACAUAUCAAAAGAGUGAGACAAAAGAACAAGACUUGGAAGUGCCCAAGGACUAGAUGGUGGAAUCUAAAAGAAGAAAAACAAGCCAUUUUCAAAGAGAAGGUAAUCACCCAAUGUGUGUGGGAUAGAGAGGGGGAAGCUAGCCAAAUGUGGGAUUCCAUGGCUAGUUGUAUCCGAAAAGUAGCAAAAGAGGUAUUAGGAGAGUCCAAGGGCUUUGCCCCACACCAAAAGGAAUCUUGGUGGUGGAAUGAGGAGGUACAAACAAAGGUGAAGGCUAAGAAGGAAUGUUGUAAAGCCUUAUACAAGGAGAGGACCGAUGAAAAUGGUGAAAGGUAUAGAAAAGCGAAGCAAGAGGCGAAGAAAGCUGUCAGAGAAGCUAAGUUAGCGGCUUACGACGAUAUGUAUAAACGACUAGAUACCAAAGAAGGAGAGUUGGAUAUCUAUAAACUAGCUAGAGCAAGGGAAAAAAGAAGACAAGGGACCUAAACCAAGUGAGGUGCAUCAAGGAUGAGGAUGGAAAGGUUCUUGCUACAGAGAACGCGGUUAAAGACAGAUGGAGAGGUUAUUUUCAUAAUCUUUUCAAUGAAGGACAUGAAAUGGAGUGCUUCUUUAGGGGAGUUGAGUAACUCAGAAGAGUGUAGAAACUACUCUUUUUUAUCGUCGAAUCCGGAAGGAAGAAGUGGUUGUAGCUUUGAAGAAGAUGAAGCAUAGAAAAGCAAUAGGCCCAGACGAUAUACCAAUCGAAGUGUGGAAAGUUUUGGGAGAGAGACAGGUAUAACAUGGCUCACUGACCUUUUCAAUAGGAUUUUGAAAACGAAGAAGAUGCCAAAUGAGUGGCGAACAAAGCACUUUGGUGCCUAUCUACAAGAAUAAGGGCGACGUACAAAAUUGCAUGAACUAUAGGGGGUAUUAAGUUAAUGAGUCAUACAAUGAAGCUCUGGGAGAGAGUCAUUGAGCAUAGAUUGAGGCAAGAGACACGGGUUUCGGACAACCAAUUCGGGUUCAUGCCAGGGCGCUCAACCAUGGAGGCAAUCUAUCUCUUACGAAGAUUGAUGGAAAGAUAUAGAGAUGGGAAAAAGGAUUUACACAUGGUCUUUAUAGAUUUGGAAAAAGCGUAUGAUAGGGUCCCAAGAGACAUUCUUUGGAGGAUUUUAGAGAAGAAAGGAGUACGAGUAGCAUAUAUCCAAGCUAUAAAGGAUAUGUAUGAAGGAGCAAAGACUGCCGUAAGAACUCAUGAAGGACAAACCGAAAGCUUUCCCAUAACUGUAGGAUUACAUCAAGGCUCAUCCUUAAGUCCUUACCUUUUUGCGUUGGUAAUGGAUGAGUUAACAGGACAUAUUCAAGAUGAUAUUCCUUGGUGUAUGCUUUUCGCAGACGAUAUAGUGUUGAUAGAUGAAACUCAGGAAGGGGUAAAUGCAAAGCUUAACCUUUGGAGAGAAGUGUUGGAAUCUAAAGGUCUUCGCCUAAGCCGAUCAAAGACAGAAUAUAUGGAGUGCAAGUUCAGUGCAAAUGGAGGCCAAAACGAGUUAGGGGUGAGGAUCGGAGAUCAAGAAAUACCAAAGAGCGACCGUUUUCGUUACCUAGGAUCUAUCUUGCAAAAGAACGGAGAAUUAGAUGGAGAUCUCAACCAUAGAAUACAAGCUGGAUGGAUGAAGUGGAAGAGUGCAUCUGGCGUGUUGUGUGACCGCCGUAUGCCACUGAAGCUCAAGGGAAAAUUUUUAUAGGACGGCAAUAAGGCCGGCGAUGCUGUAUGGCACAGAAUGUUGGGCGGUGAAGCAUCAACACGUACACAAAAUGGGUGUAGCGGAGAUGAGGAUGCUUCGUUGGAUGUGUGGGCACACGAGAAAAGGAUAAGAUUAGGAAUGAGGAUAUCCGGGGUAAAGUAGGAGUAGCCGAAAUUGAAGGAAAGAUGAGAGAAAAUCGGUUACGGUGGUUUGGACAUGUGCAAAGAAGGCCUACUGACGCUCCGAUUAGAAGAUGCGACUAUGGGACAGAGGAGGUUCAGGGCCGAAGGGGUAGAGGAAGACCUAGGAAAAACUUUGGAAGAGACUCUAAGAAAAGACUUAGAGUACUUGGAUCUAACGAAAGGACAUGACACAGGACCGAGCACAAUGGCGUUCUAAGAUUCAUAUAGCCGAUCCCACUCAGUGACUUGGAUUUUCCAAGUCUCCAACCGAGAAGUUUUCCUCACUCGGAAAAUUAAGGGAACACUACCCCAACCUACAUGCUCCACUCAGAAAGCUUCAACAUACAAGCUUCAACAAAAAAAAAAAAAUUUCAAAGAACUUAGCGAAGAAGGCUUUGGUGUAUUUAAACACAAUACGUUGAAAUGAAGGAAAACUUAUUUAUUGAUAUCCCCGAUAAGCUACAAAUAUAUGUACAUAUACAUGAGUCAAAAUAAACAAACAAGAUGGAGCCUUCACAAAGGUUGCUUAGGAGAAGUCUCAGCAGUCGGUAGAGCCCCAGAAAGAGAAGGCAUCGAAGGGGGAUCAUUCGGAGCCUCAGUACUUGGACAGAACCCUAGAAGGAGGAGGCAUCAGAGGUUGAUCAUUUGGAGCUUCAUUACGCGGUACAGCCCCAGAAGACGAAGGCAAUAAAUGCCUUUGGAACAAACCCACAAAUCUCUGAAUGAUCAAGUAAAACCUGACCAUCAGUUUCCUUCAUCUGGUCAAGCUUCCUCUUCAUGUUUGUAGCAUAGUCAUGUGCGAGUCCGGUGCAACUGUUUAUUCUCAUGCUUGAGCCCUCUAAUCUCCUGUUUGAGACUCAUCACUUCGGCCGCCAAUGAUUCAACUUGGCGGGUUCGAGAGCAAAUAGGCGUUGGGCCAUAUUAGACACAGAACCUGCACACUGAACACUGAGAGCCAGCGAAUCCUUAACAGCUAACUCAUCAGACCGUUUGGAAAGUAGUCUGUUAUCUUUGGGAGUGAGAAGGUUCCUGGCCACCACCGCAGCGGUCAUAUCAUUCUUCAUCACGGAAUCCCCAACGGUAAGAGGACCAGUAGGGGAGACGAAGGAUGGGCGCCAUAUGUUGUCUGGAGAAGGCGGGGCUGCCUCUUCAACAAGGUUCAAGUCAAAACGACGGUCGGAGGGGCCAGACAUUUUCAAAGGUGUUGAAGAGAGAAGAGGUCGGACAAAUCAAGAUCUUAGAAGUGCAAGAAUGGAGCUUCUACUGGUGGAGAUUCAAGUGUGCUUUGGAACUUAAUGCCAGCCCCUAUAAAAAGCUGCACUCGACGGAGCUUCAGACAUCGAAGAGGCGCCUGCUCAGAAAUCGAAGAGGCGUUUGCUUUCUCAAAAGCUGGGCUGCUUAGAGACCACGAGGGUGAUCUCAUAAAUCGAAGAGGUGUUUUGCUUUCUCAAAAGUUGGGCUGCUCAAAGACCAUGAAAGCCGAUCUCAGAAAUCGAAGAGGCGCUCGCUUUCUCAAAAGCUGGGCUUCCUCAGAGACCACGAGGGCCGAUCUCAGAAAUCGAAGAGGGCACCUACUUUUCCAGCCUUGUCAGCACCUGUCACACGCACACUCAGCUUUGCGGAAAUUAUGGGUAUUCUGUCGAAGACUUCUGGGGAAGUAGAAAACACAUGAAUCUUACUGUCCAAUCACCCACUUCCCACACGCAACAAUAGCUCAUGGGUACCACAGAUAACUUUGCCAAAGUUCUCUGCCAAAGUUGAGCACGUGAAGCUUGCAGCUCCCACUACAUCGCUCUGACCAAGAAGGGUAAAAGAAUAGCAAAGAAACAGCACUAACAAAGUUUAGACCCAUAAAUUUUGAAGGUCUAGCUACCAUAUUAUUACCCACAAGGGUAAAGGAACAGUACCACUGCUGGAUAAUUGGAAAGUCCCUGUGUGUCAACCUCUGUGCCUUGUGGCAAGGUAGACUAGCAAACAUGCCCAACCUUUACUCACAUUUUCGAGAAAACACUCCCAAUAAGAUUGCUUGCUCCAAAAUCGAAGAGGCACCGUCCUCCGAAUCUCGAGAGCCAGACUCCCAACAUGACUACUUUCUCAAAAAUCGAAGAGAGGGUAAAUGAACAGUACCAUUGCUGGAUAAUUGGAAAGUCCCUGUGUGUCAACCUCUGUGCUUCGUGGCAAGGUAGACUAGCAAACAUGCCCAACCUUUACUCACAUUCGAGAAAACACUUCCAACAAGAUUGCUUGCUGCAAAAUCGAAGAGGCACCGUCCUCCGAAUCUCGAGAGCCAGACUCCCAACAUGAUUACUUUCUCAAAAAUCGAAGAGACACUGCUCCCCGAAUCUCGAGAGCCAGACCCUCAGCAUGAUUGCUUUCUCAAAAAUCGAAGAGGCAUCGUUCUCCGAAUCAAUCGAAGAGGCGCUCGCUUUCUCAAAAGUUGGGCUGCUCAGAGAUCACGAGGGCCGAUCUCAGAAAUCGAAGAGGCACCUACUUUUCUAGCCUUGUCAGCACCUGUCACACGCACACUCAGCUUUGCGGAAAUUAUGGGCAUUCUGUCGAAGACUUCUGGUGAAGUCGAAAACACAUGAAUCUUACUGUUCAAUCACCCACUUCCCACACGCAACAAUAGCUCAUGGGUACCACAGAUAACUUUGCCAAAGUUGAGCACGUGAAGCUUGCAGCUCCCACUAUAUCGCUCUGACCAAGAAAGGUAAAAGAAUAGCAAAGAAACAGCACUAACAAAGUUUAGACACAUAAAUUUUGAAGGUCUAGCUACCAUAUUAUUACCCACAAGGGUAAAGGAACAGUACCACUGCUGGAUAAUUGGGAAGUCCCUGUGUGUCAACCUCCGUGCUUCGUGGCAAGGUAGACUAGCAAACAUGCCGAACCUUUACUCACAUCCGAGAAAACACUCCCAACAAGAUUGCUUACUCCAAAAUCGAAGAGGCACCGCCCUCCGAAUCUCGAGAGCCAGACUCCCAACAUGAUUACUUUCUCAAAAAUCGAAGAGACACUGCUCCCCGAAUCUCGAGAGCCAUACCCCCAGCAUAAUUGCUUUCUCAAAAAUCGAAGAAGCAUCGUUCUCCGAAUCUCGAGAGCCAGAUACCACAUGCCACUUUUUCAAAGUGCUCUGACAGAGUUAAAACAUGUGAAGCUGGCAGCUCCCACUACCGUGCUAUGACCAAGCAGGGUAAAGGAAUAGCAUUACUACUUGUUGUUAGGGAGACUCCUAUAUAUGUCGACCUCCAUCCCCAACGAACAGGCAGACCUGCAAAAAUGCUUAACCCUUCCUCAUAUCUGAGAGGGCACUCCCAACGAAGCCUUUCGAAAUAUUCAGCUUUCUUUCCCCCUGAUAAUACCUCUGCAAACAAGCUAUACUAGAGCAAUAAUAUCUCAUAUCAUCAGGGUUAAAAGCAAGAGUAUCCCAUAUCAUGCUUUUUCCCUGUCUUUUCCUUUGGCCUUGUUUUUACCUGCAAGACAAGGAGAAAGAGAGCAAUCAGUCAGCACUUGAAAUCAAGCUCCCAAUCAGGAACUGACUGCCUGGAACCCCUUACUUGAUUACUUACCUGGCAUUGCUCUCGAGUACUCAUCUUCAACAUCUUAUGUUUCCAGGGAAGAUACCGCAUCUGCUUGAGGAACAGAUAGGGCAAGUGCGAAGGAUACAAGGAAGCAUGUGGAGACAAGCGUAACAGCACACGUGCCUAUACAUCCAUUACUCUGUCAAAAGCAAAAGUAUCCCAUAUCAGCAGGGUCGAACGUACUCUAGAUUUGAUGGACUUGUUUUUGACCCUCAAAUUCUUCAGUCGGCCUUAUACUCUGGAGGAAACCAGAAAACCCUCCAGCUCAGUUCAAGAAUAAGCCUGUGGAAAGCUACUUCUUCAAAAGCAAAAGUAUCCUAUAUCAUCUCUUCUCAUUUUUCUUCUCUUUAUCCUUCAUGCAUGCUGCUGCAAGAUGGGGAGAAGGUGAACAAUCAGCCGGAGCUCUGAUUGCUUACCUUGUCUGUCACCUCUUUCAGCAGAUCCCCUAGCUCGGCGACUUGGGGGACUCCUACUACAUGGUUUGUAUCGCGCUUGACCAAGCCUGAAACUACAAGUAAGCUUCAAGUGAAAUUGAUACAUUACCUUGUGCAUCUCCACCAAUUUAAAGAUACCACCCCUGGAUGGAGGAAGAGUACUUCCAGAGAAGCUGCCACAUCUACCUAUGAGACAGAUAAGGCAAGUCAAGAUGAUACCACACUCCGAUACUUAGAAGUUUCGUGAUUACGAGAUCAUUCUCCCACAAUAUUUCCUAAUGUCAUUUGUACUCUAAUGUCAUUUGUACUAAAUCAUUCACUUGUACUCACUAAAGGAGAGCUUAAACCUAUGUACUUGUGUAAACCCUUCACAAUUAAUGAGAACUCUUCUAUUCCGUGGACGUAGCCAAUCUGGGUGAACCACGUACAUCUUGUGUUUGCUUUCCUAUCUCUAUCCAUUUAUAUACUUAUCCACACUAAUGACCGGAGCAAUCUAGCGAAGAUCACAAAAAGCGACCGUUUUCGUUACCUAGGAUCUAUCUUGCAAGAGAACGGAGAAUUAGAUGGAGAUCUCAACUAUAGAAUACGAGCUGGAUGGAUGAAGUGUAAGAGUGCAUCCGUCGUGUUGUGUGACCGUCGUAUGCCACUGAAGCUCAAGGGAAAAUUUUAUAGGACGGCAAUAAGGCCAGCGAUGUUGUAUGGCACAGAAUGUUGGGCGGUGAAACACACAUCAACACGUACACAAAAUGGGUGUAGCGGAGAUGAGGAUGCUUCGUGGGAUGUGUGGGCACACGAGAAAGGAUAAGAUUGAGAAUGAGGAUAUCCGAGGUAAAGUAGGAGUAGCCGAAAUUGAAGGAAAGAUGAGAGAAAAUCGGUUCCGGUGAUUUGGACAUGUGCAAAGAAGGCCGACUGACGCUCCGGUUCGAAGAUGUGACUACGGGACAGAGGUUCAGGGCCAAAGGGGUAGAGGAAGACCUAGGAAAACUUUGGAAGAGACUCUAAGAAAAGGCUUAGAGUACUUGGAUCUAACGGAGGACAUGACACAAAACCGAGCGCAAUGGCGUUCUAGGAUUCAUAUAGCCGACCCCACUUAGUGGGAAAAGGCUUUGUUGUUGUUGUUGUUGUUGUUGUUGUUGUUGUUGUUGUUGUACUUGAAUGAAUUUAUGCUUGUUGGACUUCUAGGGAGUCAACAGUACUGGGAAAGAAAGCAAUAAGUUCGCACCAAUGACACUGACUUGGCUGACUAAUGUUAGAAGUUGACCCUCUCCUUGGAUACAAAGGCUAUGUAAUCUUCGUCCAUUCUAGAAUUUCGCUACACUUAUCCGUUUUUCUUUUAGCAUUUGAAUUGAAUUAAUUGAAAAAAGAUUCUAGUGACAAAUCACGUCUGUUAGAAUUUUGGAUGUACGAUAACUUAGGAAAAAAUCUACUUCUAUUUUUUUUUUCUCCCUUAAAAUUACAUCCUAUUAUUAAGUUAGUAACUGGUAAGGUAUUGUGCAAUUUUGGAAGUGUACAUGCAUGUGCUUUUAAGAAAGUGCUUAACUAGUUUGAUCUUUACCAUUGAGAAUCAACAGUGAGUUAUUAUUGCAUACCAUGACUUGUCCCGUUCAGUUUAACAAAUUUAAAAUCCCCCGCA